GAUGAAGAACGCAGCGAAAUGCGAUAAGUAAUGUGAAUUGCAGAAUUCAGUGAAUCAUCGAAUCUUUGAACGCACAUUGCGCCCGCCAGUAUUCUGACGGGCAUGCCUGUUCGAGCGUCAUUACAACCCUCAGGCCCCCGGGCCUGGCGUUGGGGAUCGGCGGAAGCCCCCUGCGGGCACAACGCCGUCCCCCAAAUACAGUGGCGGUCCCGCCGCAGCUUCCAUUGCGUAGUAGCUAACACCUCGCAACUGGAGAGCGGCGCGGCCACGCCGUAAAACACCCAACUUCUGAAUGUUGACCUCGAAUCAGGUAGGAAUACCCGCUGAACUUAAGCAUAUCAAUAAGCGGAGGA
rnacentral:misc_RNA from 1 species